rnacentral:rRNA from 1 species
AUUAGGCAUGCAAGUCGAACGGUAUAAACCUUUCGGGGUUUAGAGAGUGGCGAACGGGUGAGUAACACGUAGGUAAUCUACCCUCAAAACGGGGACAACCCAGGGAAACUUGGGCUAAUACCGGAUGCGUGCAAGCAAUGUUUUGGCUGUUAAUGCUAUUCACGGAAGUGAGUAGUGUUAAUGGUUGAGAGCAUUAUUUGCAUAAAAGGUGGCAUAUGCUGCCGUUUGAGGAUGAGCCUGCGCCCUAUUAGUUAGUUGGUGAGGUAAUGGCUUACCAAGGCGAUGAUAGGUAGGCGGCCUUAACGGGUGGUCGCCCACACUGGGAUUGAGAGACGGCCCAGACUCCUACGGGAGGCAGCAGUCGAGAAUAGUCUACAAUGGACGGAAGUCUGAUAGUGCGACGCCGCGUGAACGAAGAAUCCCUUCGGGGUGUAAAGUUCUUUUAUACGUGAGCAGUGCCCUUUAUAUGAAUAGUAUAGAGGGAGGGAUUUAAGCGUAUGAAUAAGCAACGGCUAACUCCGUG